CCCCAGCCAUUGGGAAUAUGGCCCAAGGAACGAAAAUUAUACCACUCGCUGAGGCUAGCUUUUCCAAGUAUCACCGCUCCCGCUCUUCUCAACCUCUCCACCACCGUCGCAUCCCGAGGAACCACCGAUCCCAACAAAGCGUACGACCCCGCCGUCGUGUUCAUUUUAUCCUUAGUGGCAAAUGUGUCCUUAAGCAGCACCGGAAUUCCAUGCAAGUCUCCCAAUGAUCUACCGCCUUGAUUGUUUCUCCUUUCCUCAUCGGCCUUUUGAGCUUGAUACUGGGCAUCAGGGUUGACUUCUAUUACGCUGCGAAGCAGGGGAUUUAGCGUUUUGAUUUGGGUUAUGUAGAAGUCCACCAAUUGUGUUGCUGUGAGCUUGUUUUGGGAGAAGGCCUGUUGAAUGUCGUAAAUGGUUGCUUCUUCGAUGGUGAAUGCUUUGCUGUUGAUGGUGAGCAAAAGUGAGAUGAACAGUGGGACAAGGAAAGAACCUAGAUGGUUGACCCC
rnacentral:misc_RNA from 1 species